AACGUACGCUGGCGGCACGCCUAACACAUGCAAGUCGAACGAAGUAGCAAUACUUAGUGGCAGACGGGUGAGUAACAUGUAGGUAUCUGCCCUUUGGCCUGGAAUAACACGAGGAAACUUGUGCUAAUACCGGAUAAGUCUUUACGGAGAAAGCUUUAUGCACCAUUGGAUGAGCCUGCACUUGAUUAGUUUGUUGGUGGGGUAAUGGCCUACCAAGACUGUGAUCAAUAGCUGAUUUGAGAGGAUGAUCAGCCACAUUGGGACUGAGACACGGCCCAAACUCCUACGGGAGGCAGCAGUGGGGAAUCUUGCACAAUGGAGGAAACUCUGAUGCAGCGAUGCCGCGUGAGUGAAGAAGGCCCUUGGGUUGUAAAGCUCUUUCGUCGGGGAAGAAAAUGACUGUACCCGAAUAAGAAGGUCCGGCUAACUUCGUGCCAGCAGCCGCGGUAAUACGAAGGGACCUAGCGUAGUUCGGAAUUACUGGGCUUAAAGAGUUCGUAGGUGGUUGAAAAAGUUAGUGGUGAAAUCCCAGAGCUUAACUCUGGAACUGCCAUUAAAACUUUUCAGCUAGAGUAUGAUAGAGGAAAGCAGAAUUUCUAGUGUAGAGGUGAAAUUCGUAGAUAUUAGAAAGAAUACCAAUUGCGAAGGCAGCUUUCUGGAUCAUUACUGACACUGAGGAACGAAAGCAUGGGUAGCGAAGAGGAUUAGAUACCCUCGUAGUCCAUGCCGUAAACGAUGUGUGUUAGACGUUGGAAAUUUAUUUUCAGUGUCGCAGGGAAACCGAUAAACACACCGCCUGGGGAGUACGACCGCAAGGUUAAAACUCAAAUGAAUUGACGGGGACCCGCACAAGUAGUGGAGCAUGUGGUUUAAUUCGAAGAUACGCGCCGAACCUUACCAACACUUGACAUGUUCGUCGCGACUCUAAGAGAUUAGAGUUUUCGGUUCGGCCGGACGAAACACAGGUGCUGCAUGGCUGUCGUCAGCUCGUGUCGUGAGAUGUUGGGUUAAGUCCCGCAACGAGCGCAACCCUCACUUUUAGUUGCCAUCAUUAAGUUGGGCACUCUGAAAGAACUGCCAGUGAUAAGCUGGAGGAAGGUGGGGAUGACGUCAAGUCCUCAUGGCCCUUACGUGUUGGGCUACACACGUGCUACAAUGGUAUCUACAACAGGAAGCAAGACUGCGAAGUUAAGCAAAUCCCUAAAAGAUACCUCAGUUCGGAUUGCACUCUGCAACUCGAGUGCAUGAAGCUGGAAUUACUAGUAAUCGUGGAUCAGCGUGCCACGGUGAAUGCGUUCCCGGGUCU
rnacentral:rRNA from 1 species